rnacentral:tRNA from 1 species
AGAAGCCCGGGAAAUUCAUAAUUUCGACUCCAAGUUUGCAACUUGGCGUGUUUAACACCACCAGACU